rnacentral:rRNA from 1 species
UACGUAGGGUCCAAGCGUUAUCCGGAAUCACUGGGCGUAAAGCGUGCGUAGGCGGCGUGUUAAGUGUGAUGUUAAAUCGUGGGGCUCAACCCUGUCGAUGCAUCGCAUACUGGCAUGCUAGAGGACGGCAGAGGCAAGUGGAAUUGGUAGUGUAGCAGUGAAAUGCGUAGAUAUUACCAGGAACACCAAUGGCGAAGGCAGCUUGCUGGGCCACUCCUGACACUGAGGAGCGAAAGCGUGGGGAGCGAACAGG